UACGAAGGGGGCUAGCGUUGCUCGGAAUCACUGGGCGUAAAGCGCACGUAGGCGGAUUGUUAAGUCAGGGGUGAAAUCCUGGAGCUCAACUCCAGAACUGCCUUUGAUACUGGCGAUCUCGAGUCCGGGAGAGGUGAGUGGAACUGCGGAGUGUAGAGGUGAAAUUCGUAGAUAUUCGCAAGAACACCAGUGGCGAAGGCGGACUCACUGGC
rnacentral:rRNA from 1 species